AGAGUUUGAUCAUGGCUCAGGAUGAACGCUGGCGGCGUGCCUAACACAUGCAAGUCGAGCGAUUCUCUUCGGAGAAGAGCGGUGGACGGGUGAGUAACGCGUGGGUAACCUGCCCUGUACACACGGAUAACAUACCGAAAGGUAUGCUAAUACGAGAUAAUAUGCUUUUAUCGUAUGGUAGAAGUAUCAAAGCUUUUGCGGUACAGGAUGGACCCGCGUCUGAUUAGCUAGUUGGUAAGGUAAUGGCUUACCAAGGCGACGAUCAGUAGCCGACCUGAGAGGGUGAUCGGCCACAUUGGAACUGAGACACGGUCCAAACUCCUACGGGAGGCAGCAGUGGGGAAUAUUGCACAAUGGGCGAAAGCCUGAUGCAGCAACGCCGCGUGAGCGAUGAAGGCCUUUGGGUCGUAAAGCUCUGUCCUCAAGGAAGAUAAUGACGGUACUUGAGGAGGAAGCCCCGGCUAACUACGUGCCAGCAGCCGCGGUAAUACGUAGGGGGCUAGCGUUAUCCGGAAUUACUGGGCGUAAAGGGUGCGUAGGUGGUUUCUUAAGUCAGAGGUGAAAGGCUACGGCUCAACCGUAGUAAGCCUUUGAAACUGGGAAACUUGAGUGCAGGAGAGGAGAGUGGAAUUCCUAGUGUAGCGGUGAAAUGCGUAGAUAUUAGGAGGAACACCAGUUGCGAAGGCGGCUCUCUGGACUGUAACUGACACUGAGGCACGAAAGCGUGGGGAGCAAACAGGAUUAGAUACCCUGGUAGUCCACGCCGUAAACGAUGAGUACUAGCUGUCGGAGGUUACCCCCUUCGGUGGCGCAGCUAACGCAUUAAGUACUCCGCCUGGGAAGUACGCUCGCAAGAGUGAAACUCAAAGGAAUUGACGG
rnacentral:rRNA from 1 species